UGGGCGAUUUCUACAGGUUGG
rnacentral:piRNA from 1 species